GGGGGAGGCGGGCCGGGUCUACACAUGCAGUCGAACGAUGAACCACUUCGGUGGGGAUUAGUGGCGAACGGGUGAGUAACACGUGGGCAAUCUGCCCUGCACUCUGGGACAAGCCCUGGAAACGGGGUCUAAUACCGGAUACUGAUCAUCUUGGGCAUCCUUGGUGAUCGAAAGCUCCGGCGGUGCAGGAUGAGCCCGCGGCCUAUCAGCUUGUUGGUGAGGUAAUGGCUCACCAAGGCGACGACGGGUAGCCGGCCUGAGAGGGCGACCGGCCACACUGGGACUGAGACACGGCCCAGACUCCUACGGGAGGCAGCAGUGGGGAAUAUUGCACAAUGGGCGAAAGCCUGAUGCAGCGACGCCGCGUGAGGGAUGACGGCCUUCGGGUUGUAAACCUCUUUCAGCAGGGAAGAAGCGAAAGUGACGGUACCUGCAGAAGAAGCGCCGGCUAACUACGUGCCAGCAGCCGCGGUAAUACGUAGGGCGCGAGCGUUGUCCGGAAUUAUUGGGCGUAAAGAGCUCGUAGGCGGCUUGUCGCGUCGGUUGUGAAAGCCCGGGGCUUAACCCCGGGUCUGCAGUCGAUACGGGCAGGCUAGAGUUCGGUAGGGGAGAUCGGAAUUCCUGGUGUAGCGGUGAAAUGCGCAGAUAUCAGGAGGAACACCGGUGGCGAAGGCGGAUCUCUGGGCCGAUACUGACGCUGAGGAGCGAAAGCGUGGGGAGCGAACAGGAUUAGAUACCCUGGUAGUCCACGCCGUAAACGGUGGGCACUAGGUGUGGGCGACAUUCCACGUCGUCCGUGCCGCAGCUAACGCAUUAAGUGCCCCGCCUGGGGAGUACGGCCGCAAGGCUAAAACUCAAAGGAAUUGACGGGGGGCCCGCACAAGCGGCGGAGCAUGUGGCUUAAUUCGACGCAACGCGAAGAAACCUUACCAAGGCUUGACAUACACCGGAAAAGCAUUAGAGAUAGUGCCCCCCCUUGUGGUCGGUGUACAGGUGGGUGCAUGGGCUGUCGUCAGCUCGUGUCGUGAGAUGUUGGGGUUAAGUCCCGCAACGAGCGCAACCCUUGUUCCCGUGUUGCCAGCAAGCCCUUUCGGGGGGGGUUGGGGAACUCACGGGGAGACCCCCGGGGUCAACUCGGAAGGAAGGGGGGGGACGAACUUCAAGUCAUCAUGCCCCCUUAAGU
rnacentral:rRNA from 1 species